rnacentral:rRNA from 1 species
CCUACGGGUGGCAGCAGUGGGGAAUAUUGCGCAAUGGGCGAAAGCCUGACGCAGCGACGCCGCGUGAGGGAUGAAGGUCUUCGGAUCGUAAAGCUCUGUCAGCAGGGAAGAACGGUCACUGUGCUAAUCAGCAGUGAAUUGACGGUACCUGCAAAAGAAGCACCGGCUAACUCCGUGCCAGCAGCCGCGGUAAUACGGCGGGUGCGAGCGUUAAUCGGAAUUACUGGGCGUAAAGCGCACGUAGGCGGUAUGUUAAGUCAAAGGUGAAAGCCCCGGGCUGAACGUGGGAAUUGCCUUUCAUACUGGCAAACUGGAGUGUGUGAGAGGAUAGUGGAAUUCCAGGUGUAGGAGUGAAAUCCGUAGAUAUCUGGAGGAAUACCAGUGGCGAAGGCGACUAUCUGGCAAAUAACUGACGCUGAGGAGCGAAAGCGUGGGUAGCAAACAGGAUUAGAUACCCGAGUAGUC